rnacentral:rRNA from 1 species
UGGGACCAGCAGGCCGGGGUAAUUAACGGAAGGGGUGCCGGAGCGUUUAUUGGAAUUUACUGGGGCGUAAAAGCGCAUGCAGGUGGUUUGUUUAAGUCAUGAUUUGAAAGCCCCGGGGCUCAACCUCGGGAAUUGCAUUUUGAAACUGGCAAACUAGAGUACUGUAGAGGGGGGGUAGAAUUUCAGGUGUAGCGGUGAAAUGCGUAGAGAUUUGAAGGAAUACCGGUGGCGAAGGCGGCCCCCUGGACAGAUACUGACACUCAGAUGCGAAAGCGUGGGGAGCAAACAGGAUUAGAUACCCUGGUAGUCCACGCCGUAAACGAUGUCUACUUGGAGGUUGUGGCCUUGAGCCGUGGCUUUCGGAGCUAACGCGUUAAGUAGACCGCCUGGGGAGUACGGUCGCAAGAUUAAAACUCAAAUGAAUUGACGGGGGCCCGCACAAGCGGUGGAGCAUGUGGUUUAAUUCGAUGCAACGCGAAGAACCUUACCUACUUUUGACAUCUACAGAAGCCAGCGGAGACGCAGGUGUGCCUUCGGGAACUGUAAGACAGGUGCUGCAUGGCUGUCGUCAGCUCGUGUUGUGAAAUGUUGGGUUAAGUCCCGCAACGAGCGCAACCCUUAUCCUUGUUUGCCAGCACUUCGGGUGGGAACUCCAGGGAGACUGCCGGUGAUAAACCGGAGGAAGGUGGGGACGACGUCAAGUCAUCAUGGCCCUUACGAGUAGGGCUACACACGUGCUACAAUGGCGCAUACAGAGGGCGGCCAACUUGCGAAAGUGAGCGAAUCCCAAAAAGUGCGUCGUAGUCCGGAUUGGAGUCUGCAACUCGACUCCAUGAAGUCGGAAUCGCUAGUAAUCGUGGAUCAGAAUGCCACGGUGAAUACGUUCCCGGGCCUUGUACACACCGCCCGUCACACCAUGGGAGUGGGCUGCAAAAGAAGUGGGUAGUUUAACCUUCGGGAGGACGCUCACCACUUUGUGGUUCAUGACUGGGGUGAAGUCGUAACAAGGUAACCG